AUUUCCCCAAUGGGUUCUCCGGAUUUCUGGAGACUUGUAGGGGUUGUGGGAUUUUUGAUGUGUCGUCUCCGGACGGGCGGUGCAGGGUAGUCGAGUUAGACUUGGUGGAAUUCCGUCGAUAGGAGUUCCGUCGAGUCUGGUCGGCUGUGUGUUGGACGGUGCAGGGUAGGCUGCUUGGACAUGGUCGGUUCGAGGAUCGAUUCGAGGGCCGGCGCCUGUCGAUGAUGUGUGAUGUAUGCGGUCUAGGGUAGGCUGGUUUGUCUUGGUUCAAUUUGAUGUCGGCUCCCGUGCAGGCCAGAGUGAGGUAGGUACAGGGUAGGCAGCUUAUAUUUGGUCGAUCUGGAGGUCGAUUCUCCGGUUGGCGGAUCUGACACUGUCGAAACGAGAUGCGAGCGGUGUAGGGUAGGCUAGUUUCGUCCUCGCCAGGUUGCGACUUGGACGAGAUAUGUGGUCUAGGGUAGGCUCUAGGGUAAGUAGAAUUCGAGUUUCGUCGCCGAUAGUUUUCUGUGGGUGUAUGGUAGGUGCAGGGUAGGCAAAUCUCUCUCCGGCCAGUACUUGUCUGGUGGUCGUGAGUCGAUUUUUUUGUUUU
rnacentral:misc_RNA from 1 species